rnacentral:misc_RNA from 1 species
GAUGAAGAACGCAGUGAACUGCGAUAAGUAAUGUGAAUUGCAGAAUUCAGUGAAUCAUCGAGUCUUUGAACGCACAUUGCGCCCCCUGGCAUUCCGGGGGGCAUGCCUGUCCGAGCGUCAUUGCUGCCCUUCAAGCCCGGCUUGUGUGUUGGGUCGUCGUCCCCCCCGGGGGACGGGCCCGAAAGGCAGCGGCGGCACCGCGUCCGGUCCUCGAGCGUAUGGGGCUUUGUCACCCGCUCGAUUAGGGCCGGCCGGGCGCCAGCCGGCGUCUCCAACCUUCUAUUUUACCAGGUUGACCUCGGAUCAGGUAGGGAUACCCGCUGAACUUAAGCAUAUCAAUAAGCGAGGA